rnacentral:rRNA from 1 species
UACGUAGGGGCGAGCGUUAUCCGGAAUUAUUGGGCGUAAAGGGUUCGCAGGCGGCCUUGUAAGUCAGAUGUGAAAGACAGCGGCUUAACCGUUGUAAGCAUUUGAAACUGCAGGGCUUGAGUACAGGAGAGGAAAGCGGAAUUCCUAGUGUAGCGGUGAAAUGCGUAGAUAUUAGGAGGAACACCAGUGGCGAAGGCGGCUUUCUGGACUGAUACUGACGCUGAGGAACGAAAGCGUGGGGAGCAAACAGGAUUAGAUACCCUGGUAGUCCCU